rnacentral:rRNA from 1 species
CAAGUCGAACGAUGAAGUUCCUUCGGGAAUGGAUUAGUGGCGAACGGGUGAGGAACACGUGAGAAACCUGCCUUUCAUUCUGGGAUAACACCGGGAAACCGGUGCUAAUACCGGAUACUCCGUCUUGGCGGCAUCGCCGAGCCGGGAAAAAAUUUUGAUGAAAGAUGGUCUCGCGGCCUAUCAGCUAGUUGGUGAGGUAAUGGCUCACCAAGGCGACGACGGGUAGCCGGCCUGAGAGGGCGACCGGCCACACUGGGACUGAGACACGGCCCAGACUCCUACGGGAGGCAGCAGUAGGGAAUAUUGGGCAAUGGGCGCAAGCCUGACCCAGCGACGCCGCGUGAGGGAUGAAGGUCUUCGGAUUGUAAACCUCUUUCAGUAGGGAAGAAGCGAAAGUGACGGUACCUAAAGAAGAAGCACCGGCUAACUAUGUGCCAGCAGCCGCGGUAAUACAUAGGGUGCAAGCGUUGUCCGGAAUUAUUGGGCGUAAAGAGCUCGUAGGUCGUUUGUCGCGUCGAUUGUGAAAAUCUGAGGCUCAACCUCAGACCUGCAGUCGAUACGGGCAAACUAGAGUGUGGUAGGGGAGACUGGAAUUCCUGGUGUAGCGGUGGAAUGCGCAGAUAUCAGGAGGAACACCAACGGCGAAGGCAGGUCUCUGGGCCAUAACUGACACUGAGGAGCGAAAGUGCGGGGAGCGAACAGGAUUAGAUACCCUGGUAGUCCGCACCGUAAACGGUGGGCACUAGUUGUGGGAACCUUCCACGGUUUCCGCGACGCAGCAAACGCAUUAAGUGCCCCGCCUGGGGAGUACGAUCGCAAGAUUAAAACUCAAAGGAAUUGACGG